AGAGUUUGAUCAUGGCUCNGAACGUACGCUGGCGGCACGCCUAACACAUGCAAGUCGAACGCAGUAGCAAUACUGAGUGGCAGACGGGUGAGUAACACGUGGGAAUCUGCCUUGUGGUUCAGGACAACAUUGGGAAACCGAUGCUAAUACUGGAUAAGCCCUUACGGGGAAAGUUUUAAUGCCAUAAGAUGAGCCCGCAUUUGAUUAGUUAGUUGGUGAGGUAAUGGCUCACCAAGACAAUGAUCAAUAGCUGAUCUGAGAGGAUGAUCAGCCACACUGGGACUGAGACACGGCCCAGACUCCUACGGGAGGCAGCAGUGGGGAAUCUUGCACAAUGGAGGAAACUCUGAUGCAGCGAUGCCGCGUGAGUGAAGAAGGCCUUUGGGUUGUAAAGCUCUUUUGUAGGGGAAGAUAAUGACUGUACCCUAAGAAUAAGGUCCGGCUAACUUCGUGCCAGCAGCCGCGGUAAUACGAAGGGACCUAGCGUAGUUCGGAAUUACUGGGCGUAAAGCGCGCGUAGGCCGUUGAGUUAGUUAAUUGUGAAAUCCCACAGCUUAACUUUGGAACUGCAAUUAAAACUGCUCGACUAGAGUUUGAUAGAGGAAAGCGGAAUACAUAGUGUAGAGGUGAAAUUCGUAGAUAUUAUGUAGAACACCAGUUGCGAACGCGGCUUUCUGGAUCAACNCUGACUCUGAGGCGCGAAAAGUAUGGGUAGCAAAGAGGAUUUAGAUACCCUCGUAGUCCAUACCAUAAACGAUGAUUGCUAGAUGUUUGGAAAUUUAUUUUCCAGUAUCGCAGCUAACGCCAUUAAUCAAUCCGCCUGGGG
rnacentral:rRNA from 1 species